GAACUCAUUCCCACACAAAAUACACCUAUAUCACAACAUAUCACCACUAACUCAUUCCACUACAAUAUCCAUUACAAAAAUCCCCACAUAUCACCAUCCCUUUACGUUUUUCUCAGGAAAACACAACCAACCACAUAACCUUACACACAAGACCUCUCCUCUUCUCACACUUCAAACAUCAUACUACACAAUAAAACCAACAUAGUUUCCUCACCCAAAUACCAACCUUCACCACCACUUCAACAUCAUAUUGCCACUAAAUUAACAUCUUUACUAUCCUUCAACAUCCACUAACAAAUCAUUACUAAAUAAACUUUCCCUUCAUCAUUCAAAACCAUAACCAUAUCAACA
rnacentral:lncRNA from 1 species